ACUACGGGAGGCAGCAGUGGGGAAUAUUGCACAAUGGGGGAAACCCUGAUGCAGCGACGCCGCGUGAGUGAAGAAGUAUUUCGGUAUGUAAAGCUCUAUCAGCAGGGAAGAAGAAAGACGGUACCUGACUAAGAAGCCCCGGCAAACUACGUGCCAGCAGCCGCGGUAAUACGUAGGGGGCAAGCGUUAUCCUGAUUUACUGGGUGUAAAGGGAGCGUAGACGGCUGUGCAAGUCUGAGGUGAAAGCCCAGGGCUGAACCCUGGGACUGCUUUGGAAACUGUGGAGCUAGAGUGCUGGAGAGGUAAGUGGAAUUCCUAGUGUAGCGGUGAAAUGCGUAGAUAUUAGGAGGAACACCAGUGGCGAAGGCGGCUUACUGGACAGUAACUGACGUUGAGGCUCGAAAGCGUGGGGAGCAAACAGGAUUAGAUACCCUAGUAGUC
rnacentral:rRNA from 1 species